rnacentral:lncRNA from 1 species
AGAGUCACUUCACCGACCAGACGCCGCGGCCACCGCCGACGCCGCCGCCAUUUUAACAGAGCGCUCGGGCUGCGCUCGGCUCUUUCCGCCCGGGCUUAGGAGCGGACGAGAGGCGCCUCGCGCUCUCAUUCCUCCGCCUCCCUCCCUUUCUCGCCUCUCCUCCGCCCCCCACCUCUCCCUCCGCACACACGCCGCACGCUCCACACCCCGCCGUGGCCGGCUCGCCGCCCUCCCUUUCCUCUUCCGUCCGGCCUCCCCGCCCUCGGUCCACCCCCUCCGCGCGCUCGCCCACCCCGCCCAGCCCGGAUCUCUGUCAGCGGCCGGAAGGGAAACGCGAAGCCAGCGCGGCCGCGGGGGGAGUCCGGGUGAGUAGGAGAAGAUGGCGGAGGCAACGGACGGGUCGCGGUUGCGUGGCGUCGCCCACCACGACCCACUCCACGGGCUCUGAGGCCCGGGGAGCGCCAGGUCACUCGCUCCGUCCUGUCCCCCGCCCCUGGGCUUCGCCAUUUUUCCCCAGGGCCUGGGUCGGGGAGUUGGUGCGGGUUUCUUUGGUGUCCCCGGCCUCUUCCGCGCUUAGGCUUUUGGGGUACGGGAAGCAAGGAGUCAACUUGGGUGCCGGGCCGGGUCUACGCCGUAGCCCUCUUUCGGGCGCAAGGGCCACUCCCCCCGGGGUCUGAGAGUGAAUCAGCCCAGGGCCCGGCUUAACUGCAUCGGUGAUUAUCGCUACCCUGCAGUUCCUUGAAGGUCCUCCGUCCUGGAGCAGUAAGAUCCUUGACGUAACUAGAAAUGGCAGGAUGAAGUUUCACUCUUGUCACCCAGGUUGGAGUGCAAUGACGUGAUCUCGGCUCACCGCAACCUUUGCCUCGUGGGUUCAAGCAAUUCUCUUGCCUCAGCCUCUCAAGUAGCUGCGAAUACAGCUGUGCGCCACCACGCCUGGCUAAUUUUUGUAUUAUUAGUAGAGACGGGGGUUUCACCAUGUUGGCCGUGCUAGUCUCAAACUCCCGACAUCAGGUGACCCACCCACCUUGGCCUCCCAAAGUGCUGGGAUUACAGGCAUGAGCAACUGCGCCCAGCCUAGACGGAGUCUCGCUCUGUCACCCAAGCUGGAAUGCCGUGGCGCAAUCUUAGUUCACUGCAACCUCUGCCUCCUCGGUCCAAGCCAUUCUCCUGCCUCAGCCUCCCGAAUAGGCAAAUGAAUAAAAGAACAUCUUUUAUUUACCCGUAUCUGCGACAUUCCUCAUAGUAUGUUUGAAAGCCCAAAUGAUGGAAUCCAAAACAAGUUUAAACUGUGUAGGUGGAAUAGCAAGGAAUGCUGGGAAACAAUGAGAAUUGACAGCCUGAAGUAGUAAGAAAAAGUUCGUUCUAUGUUCAGGAUAUUCUUCAAAGUCCUAAAAAUAAGUGGUGGAAACAAAA